UAGCUCACUGGUCGAGUGAUCCUGCGCCGAAGAUUUCCGGGGCUAAAACUUACUACCGAAGCUACGGCAUCAUUAUGAUGGGUAGGGGAGCUUCCCAUGCGGGUUGAAGCAUGACCGUAAGGACAUGGGGACAGUAUGGGAGUGAGAAUGUUGGCAUGAGUAGCGAGAUGUGGGUGAGAAUCCCACAGGCCGUAAACCCAAGGUUUCCAGGGGAAGGUUCGUCCGC
rnacentral:rRNA from 1 species